rnacentral:rRNA from 1 species
UACAGGGGGUGCAAACGUUGCUCGGAAUCAUUGGGCGUAAAGCGCACGUAGGCGGUUCGUUAAGUCGGAUGUGAAAGCCCUCGGCUCAACUGAGGAAGUGCACCCGAAACUGGCGAGCUUGAGUACGAAAGAGGAUCGCGGAAUUCCCGGUGUAGAGGUGAAAUUCGUAGAUAUCGGGAGGAACACCGGUGGCGAAGGCGGCGAUCUGGGUCGAUACUGACGCUGAGGUGCGAAAGCGUGGGGAGCAAACAGG